AACGAACGCUGGCGGAAGGACGAACACAUGCAAGUCGAACGAGACCGUCGGGUCUAGUGGCGCACGGGUGCGUAACGCGUGGGAACCUGCCCUUAGGUUCGGAAUAACUCCCCGAAAGGGGUGCUAAGACCGGAUAAUGUCUUCGGACCAAAGAUUUAUCGCCUUUGGAUGGGCCCGCGUUGGAUUAGCUAGUUGGUAGGGUAAAAGCCUACCAAGGCGACGAUCCAUAGCUGGUCUGAGAGGAUGAUCAGCCACACUGGGACUGAGACACGGCCCAGACUCCUACGGGAGGCAGCAGUGGGGAAUAUUGGACAAUGGGCGAAAGCCUGAUCCAGCAAUGCCGCGUGAGUGAUGAAGGCCUUAGGGUUGUAAAGCUCUUUUACCCGGGAUGAUAAUGACAGUACCGGGAGAAUAAGCACCGGCUAACUCCGUG
rnacentral:rRNA from 1 species